ACCAAACAGCUAGCCCAAAAAUCUAAAACCAAAAUAUCCCCAUAAAUAACCCCUAAAACACAAACACUAAACAUUAAUCAAAUCAUUUUACCCCCCAAGUACGGGCGACGGAAAAGGAACUAGGAGCCAUAGACAAAGUACCGCAAGGGAACGCUGAAAGAGAUAUGAAACAGCCCAGUAAAGUAACAAAAAGCAGAGACUAACACUCGUACCUUUUGCAUCAUGAUUUAGCCAGUCCCCCCAGGCAAAGAGAACUUUAGUCUGACACCCCGAAACUAAGUGAGCUACUCCAAGACAGCCUAUAAAGGGCCAACCCGUCUCUGUGGCAAAAGAGUGGGAAGAGCUUUGAGUAGAGGUGACAAAUCUACCGAACUUAGUAAUAGCUGGUUGCCUGAAAAAUGAAUAGAAGUUCAGCCUUCCAACUUCUCCACUCACACGUCUAAACUCAUUAUGACACAAAGAAAUUAGAAGAGUUAAUCGAAGGGGGUACAGCCCCUUCGAACAAGAAACAACUUUUAUAGCCGGGUAAAGAUCACAAUAAUUUAAGGAAACAUGUCUAAGUGGGCUUAAAAGCAGCCACCUAAGUAGAAAGCGUUAAAGCUCAGACAUACCUGCCCUCCCAUAAUACCGAUAACACCAUCUCAACCCCCUCCCCAUUACCAGGCUGUUUUAUGCAAACAUAAAAGCACCUAUGCUAAUAUGAGUAAUAAGAAAGGAAUCAGCCUUUCUCCCAGCACGUACAUACAUCGAAACGGACCUUCCAUCGAACAUUACCGGCCCCAAACAAAGAGGGAAACGAGCAACUAACAAAUGACCAGAAAAUCACCCAUAAAUAAACCGUUAAGCCCACACUGGCGUGCACACUAGGAAAGACCAAAAGAAAAAGAAGGAACUCGGCAAACACAUUAGCCUCGCCUGUUUACCAAAAACAUCGCCUCUUGUAAACUAAAAAUAAGAGGUCCCGCCUGCCCAGUGACAUUAUGUUUAACGGCCGCGGUAUUCUGACCGUGCAAAGGUAGCGCAAUCACUUGUCUUUUAAAUGAAGACCCGUAUGAAUGGCAUAACGAGGGCCUAACUGUCUCCUUUUUCCGGUCAAUGAAAUUGAUCUCCCCGUGCAGAAGCGGGGCUAUAACCAUAAGACGAGAAGACCCUGUGGAGCUUUAGACACCAGAUCAGACCUUGUUCAACACCUCCAAAAUAAAGGAAAUAACUAAAGGACCCUGUUCUAAUGUCUUCGGUUGGGGCGACCCCGGAGAACACAAAACCUCCAUGCGGAAUAGGAGUACUUCUCCCACAACCAAGAGUGACUACUCUAAGCAAUAGAAUUUCUAACCAAAAGAUCCGGCAAAGCCGAUCAACGAACUAAGUUACCCCAGGGAUAACAGCGCAAUCCCCUUUCAGAGUUCCUAUCGACAAGGGGGUUUACGACCUCGAUGUUGGAUCAGGACAUCCUAAUGGUGCAACCGCUAUUAAGGGUUCGUUUGUUCAACGAUUAAAGUCCUACGUGAUCUGAGUUCAGACCGGAGUAAUCCAGGUCAGUUUCUAUCUAUGAAACAUUUUUUUCUAGUACGAAAGGACCGAAAAAAAGAGGCCCCUGUCACAGACACGCCUCACCCUCACCUAAUGAAAACAACUAAAUUAGGCAAAAGGAUGUAUUCCUUGAGCCUAAGAUAACGGCUU
rnacentral:rRNA from 1 species